AUUUUAUUUUACAUAUUAAAUUAAAAAUAUAAAAAUAUAACAUUUUUUUUUACUCAAUCUGCAUGCUUUUACAUUAAAAAUUUAAUAAAUCAGAUCACUAAAUAUGCAGCCAUACUCAGCACACUUACCUGAAUUCAUAUAACAUUGGUAAUAAGUUUCCUGUACAGAUUGAAGUGGAUGUGGUUUGCACCCUAUUUUCAUGUAAUAGGUACAAGAUGCUCCAUCACAUUCACCAACAAUUUCUCAAGAAAUGGGGUCUGUGAUCUGUAGAUAAGACCCUAUUGUGUAUGUAAUAAUAUUCAUUUAUCUGAAGAUCAAAGUUCAAAAAACUUUUUAUUACCCUAGAUAUGUGUGGUUUUAUGAGGAAUGCAUGGACAUAUUAUGAAGUAACAAAAUGAAGAAAAAGGUCCGACAGUGGUUGUGCCAUUGUGUGUUAUAUAUAACAAAAAGGGGAAAAAAGUUCGAUCAAUUUUUGAGGAUUAAUUUUGGGGAUGUUGGAGUGUGACAGGGGAUGCUAUUAUUUAGAAAUUAUUCAAUAUUCUUGGAGUAUCACGUGUCUGUACUUCUUAACUAAUCAUCAUUUAAUAUGCUCCUCAUGUUUUCUAAUCACCCAACACAAUACUCCACCUACUUACCUUCUCUACCAAUCAUAAUACUAUAGAAUACCACGUGUUCAUAUUCCGAGAUUACAGAAUAAUUACCCGCUUCGACCAUAGAGAAUUUAGCAACUUAAAAUUGUUGGUGAGGUUGCAUUGUCCAUGAUGUUUGCUGACCAAACUGCAUUUAAGAAAUUAAAAAUAAAAAUUCAAUUUUAAGAUAAGCCACAUAUUGUUCUUCCUUUGAUCUUAAAAUAUAAGAUUGCUUGACAUUCUACAUGUUGCUAUUAUUCAUUUAUUUGUGUUUUGAUAGAUUGGUCCAUUUCUUGGUUACAAAUUUUUUUGGUCAUAGUCAUUUUUAAUUUUUAGUGUCACCCUUUGACCUCAAAGUCUCCGGGAAAUCUUGAGUUUUACUCUAAGGAGUAGAAUAGGAAGGUAAGAUCUUAUUGCAAGGUGUAUGUGUGUGAGUUUCAACUCUCCUGAGAUGCCACUACAAGAAAUAACACAUUCAGCUACUAAUUUUGCCGACUAAACUAAAUUUAGUUGCCAAAGGUAUACACAUUAGCUACUAAAUAUUUGUUUGUCGCCAAUGGUAGACACAUUAGCUACUAAACAAUAUUUGGUCGCCAAAGAUAAAUGCAUUAGCUACUAAAACUUUUUGGUCGGUAAAAGACUACUAUUUUGCUACUAAAAAUACAUUUAGUCAGUAUUGUCUUUACUUUUGGCGACUAAUUACGUGUUAGUCGUUAAAAAUAUCAUUUUGGGCGACUAAAAAUGAUGUUGGUCGCUAAUUGCACAGUGUUUAGAAAUUAUAUUUUUUUUAUUGGUAUUUAUUUAAUUUUUGGCUACUAAUUGUGUGUUAGUCGUGGAAAAGCAACUUUUCAGAGACUAAAAAAUAUUUUGGUUGCUAAAAUGUCCAAUCUCUAGAUAUUAUUAAUUCAUUUUUGGCUACUAAAGUGUUUUAGUCGUGUAAAAUAAGGUUUUGGGUGACUAUUUUUAUUUUGGUCGCUAAAUCUGAAAUCUUUACCGAUUAUAAUUCAGUAGCCAAACAUGGCAAAAAAUUGUGGAGGGAAUAUUAAAUUCUUCAUAAAAAUAUUAGUGACCAAAAUGGAAUUUUGGCCGGGAAUAAAUUGGGUGUUGUUUUAUUUUUAUUGCAAUAGAAGUCCAUUUCCCUCCCUUUCUCACGCCCGGCUUUGUCACUGCUCUGUUUCCAUCGCCAUCACUGCAAGGCUUGCUGGAUCAUUACUUUGUCUCCCUCCCAGUUUUGUCUCCAUCGCCAUCACCGCAAGGGUUGCUGGAUAAUCGCUUUGUCUCUCUCCCAGUUUGAAAAAUGGUUCCUGGCUUAAAGCCUGGUCGGCUUUGGAAAAGGACACUCACGAGCACAAUAACAACAGUCGCUCCAUCUCCUAUUGUCACCGUACAAUCAAAUGUGGCACCAUCUCAUUAUGCCACUAGCCCACCAUUGGUUGAUUUUGAUGAGACACAACGCCUAUCUGAAAUGUAGCUGAGUGGCGUAGGGACUUCGAAGCCCAUACGUGUACGAGGACCAACAAUUGCAAAGGAAUACAAAAAACAAUUAGAGCCAAGAAAGGGGAAAAAUGUUAUGUUCACAUUGAUCGUGCUUUGAAUGCAAUGACUGGAAAAUAUGCCACUCCAGCAACUAACGAGUUAGGAAUUCAUAUUAGGAGCUUGUGCCCUGUGAAAGAUGUCAAGUCGUGGCUGGAUUUGAUAAGAUUACAAAAUCUGCCGUCAUCCAAGCUGUUCUUGUCAUUGAUAUUACUUGUCCACAAGAUGCAUUUGUAUUAUGUAUACUUAUAAGAAAGAAUUUUAUUUAAUGAUUUUAAUUUCCAUUUGUUAUGCUUAUAGGACAAGUUUGAUAUUGAAGACAAUUUCCACAAUGACUUACAAGCACAACAGAUUGUGAAUAAGAAGGCAUAUGGGUUGUACAAAGAUUGGAGGUACACCUUGAAGCAAGAAUUCAAACUCUUAGAGGGACUUCCAAGUGAUGAGAUCUAUGCUCAUCCGCCCCGAGGGGUGAGUGUAGAUGAUUGGAAGCAUUUGAUCGACGUGGCGUGGCAAGAUGCAUCUUACUAGAAAUGGUCAAAAGCUGGCAAGAGUAACAGGAGUUAAUUGUCAUACAAUCAUACCAAUGGGUCCCGCUCAUUUCCUAUCACAAUGGCUGUUAUGGUGAGAUUGAAUUUAUUUAAAAUUAA